rnacentral:lncRNA from 1 species
AUGCUUUCAAACUUUGUAUGCUAAACAAGAAUAAAGCUGUGUAAAUGAUCAUUGAAAUAGAAAACUGCUGGGCUAUCGCCGACCGCACCACAGUGCACUCUUAUCAUGGAUAGUUGAUAUAGUGCAUUUGAUACUGCUAGGCCCCACUAGAUAAAAUAUUUCGUAAGAAGGUGCCAGCUGGGGUACCAUCAAUCACACCACAGUGCACCCCUAUCAUGAGCAGUCGAUACAGUGCAUUUAAUACUGCUAGACCCCACUAGACAUAAUAUUUUAUAAGGAGGUAUCGGUUGGGCUACCACCGACCACACCACAUUGUACCCCUACUAUGAGCAGUCG